rnacentral:rRNA from 1 species
GAUGAACGCUGGCGGCGUGCUUAACACAUGCAAGUCGAACGAAGCACUUAAUGAGAUUUCUUCGGAUUGAUUAUUUGUGACUGAGUGGCGACGGGUGAGUAACGCGUGGGUAACCUGCCCCAGACCGGGGGAUAACAGUCGGAAACGACUGCUAAUACCGCAUAAGCGCACAGUGCCGCAUGGCACGGUGUGAAAAACUCCGGUGGUCUGGGAUGGACCCGCGUCCGAUUAGUUAGUUGGUGGGGUAACGGCCCACCAAGACUGCGAUCGGUAGCCGACCUGAGAGGGUGACCGGCCACAUUGGGACUGAGACACGGCCCAGACUCCUACGGGAGGCAGCAGUGGGGAAUAUUGCACAAUGGAGGAAACUCUGAUGCAGCGACGCCGCGUGAGCGAAGAAGUAUUUCGGUAUGUAAAGCUCUGUCAGCAGGGAAGAUAAUGACGGUACCUGACCAAGAAGCCCCGGCUAACUACGUG